UGUUAAACUGACAAAAAUCAUAGAAUGGCCUGGGUUGGAAGGGACCUUAAAAAUCGUUUAAUUCCAGCCCCCUGAAAUUGGCAGGGAGGCCUCCCACCAGACCAGGUUGCUCAAAGCCCCAUCCAACCUGGCCUUGAACACCUCCAGGGAUUGGGCAUCCACAGCU